GAUGAACGCUAGCGGCAGGCUUAACACAUGCAAGUCGAGGGGUAGAGGUUGCUUGCAACCUUGAGACCGGCGCACGGGUGCGUAACGCGUAUGCAACCUAACUUUUACAGAGGGAUAGCCCAGAGAAAUUUGGAUUAAUACCUCAUAGUAUAUAACCUUCGCAUGUUGGAUAUAUUAAAGUUUCAACGGUAAAAGAUGGGCAUGCGUCCUAUUAGCUAGAUGGUAAGGUAACGGCUUACCAUGGCAACGAUAGGUAGGGGUCCUGAGAGGGAGAUCCCCCACACUGGUACUGAGACACGGACCAGACUCCUACGGGAGGCAGCAGUGAGGAAUAUUGGACAAUGGGCGCAAGCCUGAUUCAGCCAUGCCGCGUGCAGGAAGAAGCAUCUAUGGUGUGUAAACUGCUUUUGUACAGGAAGAAACACCCCGACGUGUCGGGACUUGACGGUACUGUAAGAAUAAGGAUCGGCUAACUUCGUGCCAGCAGCCGCGGUAACAC
rnacentral:rRNA from 1 species